GCUGGGCAUGGUGGAGCAUGCCUGUAAUCCCAGCUACUUGGGAGGCUGAGGCAGGAGAAUCAUUUGAGCCCAGGAAGUGGAGGCUGCAGUGAGCUGAGAUCGAGCCACUGCACUCCAGCCUGGGCAACAGAGCAAGACUCUGUCUCAA
rnacentral:SRP_RNA from 1 species